UACGUAGGGGGCUAGCGUUGUCCGGAAUCAUUGGGCGUAAAGGGUGCGUAGGCGGCGCGGUAAGUCGGAUGUGAAAUCUCGGAGCUUAACUUCGAAACUGCAUUCGAUACUGCCGUGCUUGAGGACUGGAGAGGAGACUGGAAUUUACGGUGUAGCGGUGAAAUGCGUAGAUAUCGUAAGGAAGACCAGUGGCGAAGGCGGGUCUCUGGACAGUUCCUGACGCUGAGGCACGAAGGUCAGGGGAGCAAACGGG
rnacentral:rRNA from 1 species